rnacentral:rRNA from 1 species
AGAGUUUGAUCCUGGCUCAGAACGAACGCUGGCGGCAGGCUUAACACAUGCAAGUCGAACGCCCCGCAAGGGGAGUGGCAGACGGGUGAGUAACGCGUGGGAAUCUACCCAACUCUACGGAAUAACUCAGGGAAACUUGUGCUAAUACCGUAUACGCCCUUCGGGGGAAAGAUUUAUCGGAGUUGGAUGAGCCCGCGUUGGAUUAGCUAGUUGGUGGGGUAAAGGCCUACCAAGGCGACGAUCCAUAGCUGGUCUGAGAGGAUGAUCAGCCACAUUGGGACUGAGACACGGCCCAAACUCCUGCGGGAGGCAGCAGUGGGGAAUAUUGGACAAUGGGCGCAAGCCUGAUCCAGCCAUGCCGCGUGAGUGAUGAAGGCCCUAGGGUUGUAAAGCUCUUUCACCGGUGAAGAUAAUGACGGUAACCGGAGAAGAAGCCCCGGCUAACUUCGUGCCAGCAGCCGCGGUAAUACGAAGGGGGCUAGCGUUGUUCGGAAUUACUGGGCGUAAAGCGCACGUAGGCGGGUAUUUAAGUCAGGGGUGAAAUCCCAGAGC